CAAAGCCCUGGGUCCAAUGGUUUCCCCGCGGAGUUCUAUCAGAAAUUGUGGGAAGUCAUCAAACCGGAUCUCCUACUUUUGUUUACCGACCUACAUGCUGGCCAACUAGAAUUGUUUCGCUUAAACUUCGGUGAGAUUAUUUUAUUACCUAAGGUUAAUGAGGCUGAACGGAUACAACAAUAUAGACCCAUUUUCCUCCUUAUUGUUAGUUUAAAAAUAUUCACGAAGGUUGCGACUAUUAGGCUAAAUUCGGUUGUUGACCAUGUGGUGCGGCCAUCACAGAUAGCUUUUAUGCAAGGUAGACACAUCCUAGAUGGAGUGGUUAUCCUUCAUGAAACAAUCCAUGAAUUACACCGGAAAAAGUUGGAUGGGGUGGUACUCAAAAUAGACUUCAAAAAGGCUUAUGACAAAGUCAAGUGGCCCUUUCUUCAACAGACUCUCAGAAUGAAAGGAUUUUCUGCAGAGUGGCGCGCUAUGAUCCAUAGCAUCGUUUCUGGAGGCAAUGUUGAGAUUAAGGUCAAUGAUGACGUUGGACACUAUUUCCAAACGAAGAAGGGAUUGCGACAAGGUGACUCAUUAUCGCCCAUACUAUUUAAUAUAGUGGCGGAUAUGCUAGCGGUCAUGAUUGAGCGUGCCAAGGUAGAUGGCCAAAUUUAUGGGGUAGUAAAUCAUCUAGUUGAUGGUGGCCUCUCUAUACUUCAAUAUGCCAAUGAUACGUUCAUGGAUCAUGACCUCGAGAAAGUGAGACAUCUAAAACUGAUUUUAUCAGCAUUCAAGCAACUCUCGGGUCUUAAGAUCAAUUUUCAUAAAAGUGAAAUGUUUUUCUUUGGCGAGGCUCAAGACGAAGCCCACAUAUACGCCAAACUGUUCGUAUGCGGGUUGGGCCAGUUUCCGAUCACAUAUUUGGGGAUACCGAUACAUUAUAGGAGACUCACAAAUGCUGAAUGGAAACAUGUUGAGGAGAGACUGCAAAAAAGACUUAGCAGUUGGAAAGGUAAAGGAUGUCUCUGGGUGGAAGAUUGGUCCUCAUAA
rnacentral:rRNA from 1 species